rnacentral:rRNA from 1 species
UACGUAGGGACCAAGCGUUUGUUCGGAUUUACUGGGCGUAAAGGGCGCGUAGGCGGCGCGGUAAGUCACUUGUGAAAUCUCUGAGCUUAACUCAGAACGGCCAAGUGAUACUGCAGUGCUAGAGUGUGGAAGGGGCAAUCGGAAUUCUUGGUGUAGCGGUGAAAUGCGUAGAUAUCAAGAGGAACACCUGAGGUGAAGACGGGUUGCUGGGCCAACACGUGACGCUGAUGCGCGAAAGCCAGGGGAGCAAACGGG